GACGAACGCUGGCGGCGCGCCUAACACAUGCAAGUCGAACGAGCGAGAGAGAGCUUGCUUUCUCAAGCGAGUGGCGAACGGGUGAGUAACGCGUGAGGAACCUGCCUCAAAGAGGGGGACAACAGUUGGAAACGACUGCUAAUACCGCAUAAGCCCACAGCUCGGCAUCGAGCAGAGGGAAAAGGAGUGAUCCGCUUUGAGAUGGCCUCGCGUCCGAUUAGCUAGUUGGUGGGGUAACGGCCUACCAAGGCGAUGAUCAGUAGCCGGUCUGAGAGGAUGAACGGCCACAUUGGGACUGAGACACGGCCCAG
rnacentral:rRNA from 1 species